AUGAUGAUAAAAAGUAUCUUUUAUAAACGGUUAGAACCUGAAUUCUAGAGUGAAGAUAUGUACUAGGGCGGACUGAUUAU